ACAGUUCGGUCCCUAUCCGCCGCGCGCGCAGGAAUCUUGAGGAAAUCUGACCCUAGUACGAGAGGACCGGGUUGGACGAACCUCUGGUGUGUGAGUUGUUCUGCCAAGAGCACUGCUCAUUAGCUACGUUCGGAAGGGAUAACCGCUGUAAGCAUCUAAGCGGGAAACCAUUUCCAAGAUAAGGAUUCCCACCGGGUUAACCGGGUAAGGCCCCCAGCUAGAUGACUGGGUUGAUAGGCCGGACGUGGAAGUGCAGCAAUGCACGGAGCUGACCGGUACUAAUAGGCCGAGGACUUGCCUCA
rnacentral:rRNA from 1 species